rnacentral:tRNA from 1 species
GCUUUCGUAGUGCAGUGGCCAGCACACUCGACGAGUACUCGAGAGGUCCGUGGUUCGAAUCCCGGCAAAGGCA